rnacentral:lncRNA from 1 species
UGUGAUUUUAUGGAAAAUGGGUUUAAAUGGUAAAUUGCUAUGUUUUAAGAGAAAUUGUGAUUUUAUAAAAUGAUUUUAUAAAUUUUCUGAAAAAUCGAAUACUGGUUUUGAAAAUAGAGUAAUUGGAGACUGCCUGCUUGUGUUGUAAAUUUAUGGUUUUAAAUUGAAUGGCUUAUGACAAUAAAUGAGCAUGAAUGGCUAAAUUGAUUUUGGUGUUAGAAUUAUUUGUACUGUGUAUUUAGCCUUGAGAGGCUAGGUUGCGAUAAAUUGCCAUGUCAUGCAGAAAAAGAUUUUAUAAAUCAGGUGGUAGAUAAAAGAUUAGCUACUGCAGUGGUGGGGGUUUCCGUGGGCCAGCCUAUUAGA